UUUACCAAAUAUAUCCGUUUGUCAGCAGAACAGGACUUAGAAAUUACAUCAGUGGAAGAAGAAAGUCCUGAUGAAAGUGAAUAUAACCACCUGCAGUGUAUGAAAAAAAAAUUUGGAUCCAAACAUCAAAAUGACAGGAGGAUCACACCAAAUUCAAUAAACAGGAAUGUGUAUGCAUGAGGAAAACGUGAAUUGAUGAAUGCAGUGAUAUUUUUCAAAACAUGUAAUAGUAAGACAACUCCAGCAACAACGGGAUGACACCAUAAUACAACAACCUAAUUUAGAGGCUUUGCUAGAGGUUACCUCAUAUUGCUGUACUAAUGUAAAAGGUAGAACCAGCACCACAAGAGAAGUUAGAGCAUUUGAGAGAGCAUGAUGAUGCUUCAUGUGGAAGGCAAAUGGAACUCAGAAUUAAAGAUCUAGCAUCUCAACUCUCCAAAAAAAUUUCUCAAGGGGACUGUAUUAAAACUGAAUUGGAGAAAUAUAAACAAUUCUACCUAGAAGAAUGGAAGAUUAUCGCGUCAUUGGCAAAUCAACUAAACAAGUAUGUCAAAACAGAAUCAGAGAAAAUAAAUUAAGCUCAUUUUAGUUUGCCUCUGAAGCAUUAUUUCUGUUGAGCCAAGUUUAUAAGAUUAGUAGGAAGUGAAAGCUAAAUGGAUAGCAUAUUCUGGAAAAUGAUGUCUGUAAAUGAACUUACCUUUAAAAUGUUUGUCCAACACAGUUUGUAUCUCUUCUCCCUUUGUUUUAAAUGACUUUAUUUUUCCCUUUUAAUAUUUUUGUAGUUAACCUGAUCUA